GACGAACCGAGCGAACGUUGUUCGGAAUCACUGGGCUUAAAGGGCGCGUAGGCGGGCUGUCAAGUCUGGGGUGAAAUCCCGCGGCUCAACCGCGGAACUGCCUCAGAUACUGACGGUCUCGAGGGGGUAGGGGCGAGCGGAACUGAUGGUGGAGCGGUGAAAUGCGUUGAUAUCAUCAGGAACUCCGGUGGCGAAGGCGGCUCGCUGGACCUCUCUGACGCUGAGGCGCGAAAGCUAGGGGAGCAAACGGG
rnacentral:rRNA from 1 species